rnacentral:rRNA from 1 species
UACAGAGGUGGCAAGCGUUGUUCGGACUUACUGGGCGUAAAGGGCGAGUAGGCGGCCUUCUAAGUCAGACGUGACAUCCCCCGGCUUAACCUGGGAACUGCGUCUGAUACUGGGAGGCUAGAGUUUGGGAGAGGGAGGUAGAAUUCCAGGUGUAGCGGUGAAAUGCGUAGAUAUCUGGAGGAAUACCGGUGGCGAAGGCGGCCUCCUGGACCAAUACUGACGCUGAUCCGCGAAAGCUAGGGGAGCAAACGGG